rnacentral:rRNA from 1 species
GAAGUUGAUGAACCUGGUCAUUCAUAUAAUGCCCUGCCCCUCAUUUAACGCGCGCUACAUUGAUGUAUUCAACGAGUUUAUAGCCUUGGCCGACAGGCCCGGAUAAUCUUUGAAAUUUCAUCGUGAUGGGGAUAAAUCAUUGCAAUUGUUGGUCUUCAACGAGGAAUUCCUAGUAAGCGCGAGUCAUCAGCUCGCGUUGACUAC